rnacentral:rRNA from 1 species
AUUAGAUACCCCGGUAGUCCUGGCCCUAAACGAUGUCCACUAGGUCGGAGGCACACUGACGUGGUUCUGGCCGAAAUGAAAACGAUAAGUGGACCGCCUGGGGAGUACGGUCGCAAGGCUAAAACUCAAAGGAAUUGACGGGGGCUCACACAAGCGGUGGAGCAUGUUGCUUAAUUCGAUGCAACGCGAAGAACCUUAUCCUGGGCUUGACAUAUUCGGAUGCCCCCUUGGAAACAAGGUCGGCUGCCCUUCGGGGUGAAACGUAUACAGGUGCUGCAUGGCUGUCGUCAGCUCGUGUCGUGAGAUGUUGGGUUAAGUCCCGUAACGAGCGGAACCCUUGUCGUUAGUUGCCAGCGAGUAAUGUCGGGGACUCUAACGAGACUGCCGGUGUCAAACCGGAGGAAGGUGGGGAUGACGUCAAGUCCUCAUGGCCUUUAUGCCCAGGGCUGCAAACGUGCUACAAUGACCGGUACAAACCGAAGCAAGACCGUGAGGUGGAGCAAAUCGGAAAAAGCCGGCCUCAGUUCGGAUUGGAGUCUGCAACUCGACUCCAUGAAGUCGGAAUCGCUCGCAACUCGCGUAUCAGAAUGACGCGGUGAAUGAGUUCCUGAGCAUUGACACACCGCCCGUCAAGUCAUGGAAGCUGGGAGCAACCCGAAGUCGCCCCGUCUCAGGGGUGCC